ACUCCAUACUCCAGCUGACUUGGCUAUUCUCAAUCCUCGGGUGUUGAUAGCUGACUUGGCUAUUCUCAAGCUUCAAGUGUCUAUAGCUGAUAAACAAGUUAAAUUAACCAACAAAAUGUCGGUGAAAUUUGGCGGGAUUUUGGCAGGACU